CCUUGUCUUAGAUGUAGAGGAAUAAAUGAUUCUGGUUUUGGAGAAGUGAUGAUGAUGAAAAUGGAGGAACAAAUGGUUCUGGUUUUGGAGAAUUGAUGAUGAAGAAAAUGAAGGUGGUCACCACGACGAUGAUAAUAAUGAUUCGUUCUCUUUGUUCUGUGAUAUAUACUAAUAUUAUAGGUUGGGAUAACGUAGUUGAUGUAGAACCAGGGAGAAGAGAGUUUGAAUCUUUCCAUCUAGAGAUGCAAUACUUCCAUGAUCAUGCAACUUUCACAGUAGUUGUUGGCCUGAACCAGCAGUGCGAGCAAGUGAAUGCUCCUGAUCCAAUUAUCAACACUUGCAGUGACUUUUACAAAUUCUGGCAGGCAACCCAUGAUUUGCACGAGGCCAUAAAUCUCUGUUAUGCAGCAUCGAUAGCAACUAAUCCUAUGGAAGAUAAUCUUGGUGAUAACUUAGAGUUUCUGUGCUUAUGGAAUGUUAUGACGUACUGAGAUUCUCCAUGGAAAGUGGUGCCAAGGGUUGCAAGGUUCUGUUCAUGUCCUGGUUACUUUGGGGAUUAUACCAUUGUGAGAGGCAUGGUAGUCUCAAUGGUAGAGAAGUGUCUUAGGGCUGUGGUAACAGGCAAGAGGGUUGAAGAAGCAUUUGAAGAGGAUCAAUGCGCUUAAGCAUUGCAUGCUUGGCAAGCUUGGUGGUGCCUUUAUAAGUCCUGCUGGAAUCCUCCGUUGUGCUCAAGGAUGUGUUUUGCUUGACAGAGACGGGGUUCGCAGAAAAGAAAAGCUACACAUUUAUUACAAUU